rfam:Oryza brachyantha chromosome 4, whole genome shotgun sequence.
ACUCCGUCCCAUUUUGUAGUUUUUAAAUAUAAUGUUUUAACUUUUCGUCUUAUUUAAACUUUUUUUGCGAUUAAUAUUUUUUUAUUACUAGAUAAUAAAAUAUGAAUAGUAUUUUAUAUGGGACUAAUUUUUUUAAGUUUUUAUACAAAUUUUUCAAAUAAGACGGACGGUCAAACAUUAGACACGGAAAAACGAAAAAUGAAAUUACU